AGAUGACUCUCGGCAACGGAUAUCUCGGCUCUCGCAUCGAUGAAGAACGUAGCGAAAUGCGAUACUUGGUGUGAAUUGCAGAAUCCCGUGAACCAUCGAGUCUUUGAACGCAAGUUGCGCCCGAAGCCAUUAGGCUGAGGGCACGUCCGCCUGGGUGU
rnacentral:rRNA from 2 species